UACAGAGGCCUCAAGCGUUAUCCGGAAUUACUGGGCGUAAAGGGUGUGUAGGUGGUUUUGUUAGUCUUCUGUUAAAUUCUUCGGCUUAACCGGGGACCUGCGGAGGAAACGGCAAAACUUGAGGGUAAGAGAGGUGCAUGGAACUCAUGGAGUAGGGGUGAAAUCCGUUGAUAUCAUGAGGAACACCAAAAGCGAAGGCAGUGCACUAGCUUAUUCCUGACACUCAAACACGAAAGCGUGGGUAGCGAAU
rnacentral:rRNA from 1 species